GAUCCUGGGCUCAGGAUGAACGCUAGCUACAGGCUUAACACAUGCAAGUCGAGGGGCAGCAUGGUCUUAGCUUGCUAAGGCCGAUGGCGACCGGCGCACGGGUGAGUAACACGUAUCCAACCUGCCGUCUACUCUUGGACAGCCUUCUGAAAGGAAGAUUAAUACAAGAUGGCAUCAUGAGUCCGCAUGUUCACAUGAUUAAAGGUAUUGGUCGGUAGACGUAGGGUAGGGGU
rnacentral:rRNA from 1 species